rnacentral:lncRNA from 1 species
UUGAGAUAAAUGUAUAAGUUUUGAUUUUAGGAACUAAAUUGAAUAAAAAGGUAAAAGUUUAAGGUAAUAAUGUAAAAUGUUAUUAAAUGGUCAAAUGCAUGUGUUUAGAUAUUUUAAGGUAUUUGAAAUGGUUAAUUGAGUUAAAUUAUUAUAUAGAUAAAAAGAACGAAUCAAUCGAUUGAUAAACGCGAAAAAAGUAAAAAUUGCCUAAACGUCCUUAGUGUCGUAUUCGUUGCCAAUUUUGAUUAGGUCAAUUUCAUAUGAGACAUAAUUUUUUAAUGACAGUUUAUUAUUGUAUUAUUUAAUUGUUUGAUAUUUAAUUAUUGAAAUACAAUAAUUGUUGGCAUCGAAAGAACUAUAGUGGAAAGUACAAUUUAUGUGGCUAAUACGAA